UACAGAGGGUGCGAGCGUUGUUCGGAAUUAUUGGGCGUAAAGGGCGCGUAGGCGGUGCGGUAAGUCACCUGUGAAAUCUCCUGGCUCAACUGGGAGCUUGCAGGCGAAACUGCCGUGCUGGAGUGUGAGAGAGGUGCGUGGAAUUCCUGGUGUAGCGGUGAAAUGCGUAGAUAUCAGGAGGAACACCUGUGGCGAAAGCGGCGCACUGGACCACAACUGACGCUGAGGCGCGAAAGCUAGGGGAGCAAACAGG
rnacentral:rRNA from 1 species